UACAGAGGUCUCGAGCGUUGUUCGGAUUCAUUGGGCGUAAAGGGUGCGUAGGUGGCGUGGUAAGUCUGGUGUGAAAUCCCGGGGCUCAACCCCGGAACUGCACUGGAUACUGCCAUGCUUGAGUACUGGAGAGGAGAUUGGAAUUUACGGUGUAGCAGUGAAAUGCGUAGAUAUGCGGAGGAACACCGAUGGCGAAGGCAAUCCCCUGGGCCUGCACUGACGCUCAUGCACGAAAGCGUGGGGAGCAAACAGG
rnacentral:rRNA from 1 species